UGUGUCCUACAAAACAAAACAGUGAUACCAUCUCAUAAAUGAGGCAGAACACUUCAAGGAAGACAUUGAUAAUCUCCAGAGCAGUCACAACAGUAUCAAAAAGGAACAUCAAUAUUAGAUGGAGCGCUUUCAACAUCAACUCAAUGAACUUAUUUUCAACACCAAUAGGACUUCUCCCAGAUGCUGUCACGGCUUUAACAGUGCACUGCACCUGCCCGAUGCCAACGAGAGCUUUCCAUCUUACAACCACUUUUCCAAGUUGGCUUCAUGGAGAAGUGAUGAUCUUCUUGGCAGUUCAGAUACUAUGAUGUCAAGUGGUAAAAAUGGAACAUUAGGAAACUGGAAGUCUGGUGUCAGCAGUACCAGGAACUUCUGUGUGGUCUCUAGUGUGCCUGGAGUGCUCUGGUCUCCUCUCCCACCUUGCAAAGAAAGAACCAGGGAGGUCCAAGGCCUCUUCUGUGGACUCAGUGGUUCCUUGGAGUCAGGUGGGUACAUCCUCUGUCAUUCUGUGGUGUGGUUUUAUCUAACAUCCUCUUACUCUGUGACAACCUUUGAUGGGGGUAGUGUUAGUGAGUGCCAUUGGAGAAGGUAAUAGCACGUGACAAAUUCAUGAUCUUCUAACAAAAUAUGGAGAUGCUCCAUCUGUACCCUGGCUACUUUGAGCUUCUCUUUCCGAGGUUAAGAUCCCACUUU